AGCGAACGCUGGCGGCAGGCUUAACACAUGCAAGUCGAGCGGGGCGUAGCAAUACGUCAGCGGCAGACGGGUGAGUAACGCGUGGGAACGUACCUUUUGGUUCGGAACAACCCGAGGGAAACUUGGGGCUAAUUACCGGAUAAGCCCUUACGGGGAAAGAUUUAUCGCCGAAAGAUACGGCCCGCGGUCUGAUUAGCUAGUUGGUUGAGGUAACGGCUCACCAAGGCGACGAUCAGUAGCUGGCUGAGAGGAUGAUCAGCCACAUUGGGACUGAGACACGGCCCAAACUCC
rnacentral:rRNA from 1 species